UACGAAGGGUGCUAGCGUUGUUCGGAAUCAUUGGGCGUAAAGCGCGUGUAGGUGGUUAUGCAAGUCGAGUGUGAAAUCCCUAGGCUCAACCAAGGAAGUGCACCCGAAACUGCAUAGCUAGAGGACGGUAGAGGAAGGUGGAAUUCCAAGUGUAGAGGUGAAAUUCGUAGAUAUUUGGAGGAAUACCGGUGGCGAAGGCGGCCUUCUGGGCCGGCCCUGACACUGAGACGCGAAAGCGUGGGUAGCAAACAGG
rnacentral:rRNA from 1 species